UGGGGAAUAUUGCACAAUGGGCGCAAGCCUGAUGCAGCCAUGCCGCGUGUAUGAAGAAGGCCUUCGGGUUGUAAAGUACUUUCAGCGGGGAGGAAGGGAGUAAAGUUAAUACCUUUGCUCAUUGACGUUACCCGCAGAAGAAGCACCGGCUAACUCCGUGCCAGCAGCCGCGGUAAUACGGAGGGUGCAAGCGUUAAUCGGAAUUACUGGGCGUAAAGCGCACGCAGGCGGUUUGUUAACUCAGAUGUGAAAUCCCCGGGCUCAACCUGGGAACUGCAUCUGAUACUGGCAAGCUUGAGUCUCGUAGAGGGGGGUAGAAUUCCAGGUGUAGCGGUGAAAUGCGUAGAGAUCUGGAGGAAUACCGGUGGCGAAGGCGGCCCCCUGGACGAAGACUGACGCUCAGGUGCGAAAGCGUGGGGAGCAAACA
rnacentral:rRNA from 1 species